ACACGCUGCGUUUGAACCCGCAAUGCCUGCCUGUGACAACUGGGGUUAAGCUGCAGCACCUGAGCAGGUGCUGGCACAUAACUGGGGCCGCCAAGCCUCUGCAGGAGGCCCUUUUAACUGAGAGGACACUG
ensembl:snoRNA